rnacentral:lncRNA from 1 species
UGACAUUACAUCCUGCUUGAAGCGUUUUUAACACUAUUUGCUCAGAAACAUCUUCUCAAAAUUAUUUUUUCAGAAACUACUGUAGCAAAAGAACGUCCACGUGGGAGCUUCUUUCAGUACUUUUGCUGACAAUGCAUUCUGCUUAAAGCGUUUUUGACAUUAUUUGCUCAGAAACGUCUUCUCAAAAUUAUUUUUUCAUGAACUACUGUAGCAAAAGAGCGUUCACGUGGGAGCUUUU